rnacentral:rRNA from 1 species
UACAGAGGUCUCAAGCGUUGUUCGGAUUCAUUGGGCGUAAAGGGUGCGUAGGCGGCGCGGUAAGUCGGGUGUGAAAUCUCGGAGCUUAACUCCGAAACUGCAUUCGAUACUGCCGUGCUUGAGGACUGGAGAGGAGACUGGAAUUUACGGUGUAGCGGUGAAAUGCGUAGAUAUCAUAAGGAAGACCAGUGGCGAAGGCGGGUCUCUGGACAGUUCCUGACGCUGAGGCACGAAGGUCAGGGGAGCAAACGGG